CCGCAGCCAGGCAUACAAUGAAGCUGUCUCAAAUAAAAAAAUGUUUAUCCUCAGGGCAGGCCUGAACCAAGUUUUUCUGAUGUUUCACAGAUUCAAAAUUGAUCUGCCAAUGUCAGUGUGGCUUUGGUGUACUUAGAAGAAAGGAGACCUUAAGUUUUAACUAUGCCAGGAGAACAUUGAUGGGAGCAAAGCAUAUUCCUUUCUACCAAAUUUUUAAAGGAGGAAAGAAUCUGUAGUGGGGGACCAGACCACACCUGUGUUUAUUGGUACCGCAAUGUCUACUAUCCAGACUUUUUAAAUCUUUAUUAUCAACAAUGGUUAAGUCUGGUGGUAUUGUGUGGCAGAUAAUUGUGUGCUUGAAUUCUAAAGUCCCAGAACAACUUUAGUUUCCUCAUGUUCUAUUACUUCAUUAAUAGUGAUCCCUCGAGUGCUUGUUUGCAGGUAAAUGGUAUUUCUUGCAAUGAAAUGAAGUCCCGUGGCUUCAGUUCCUGACACUAGCUCACAAAAAAAAACAGCUGACCAGAGUAUAUGUGGAUGAUCUCAAGAUGUCUUCUUUUUCCAGAAAGAUUUCUAAAAACUGGAAAGUCUGGAUCCGACAUCCUUUUGCCAAUUCCAGUUGUACAGAUAUUCCUCAACUUGCAACAAUUCAUUUAGUGACCGGUCAAGUUUACAACACUGAAAAAAAGAGACUUUUGACUGUUUUCACACUUACAACCAUUGCAGCAUCCCCAUGGUUAUGAGAUCAAAACUCAGGUGCUUGACAACUGGCAUGUAUUUAUGACAGUCCAGAGUUCUGGGAUCAUAUGAUCAACUUUUGUGACCUUCUGACAAGCCAAGUCAAUGAGGAAGCCCGAUUCGUUUAACAACCGGGUUACUGACUUAAUUGCUGUGAUUCACUUAACUGUGACAAGAAAAGUUGUAAAAUGGGGCAAAAGUCAUUUAACAAUUGUCUUGCUUAGGAAUGGAAAUUUUGGGCUCAACGGUAUUCAUCAGUCAAGAACUACCUGUAAUGUCUCCCGGGAGGUCAGUUCACCAUUUCCUUACUGGCAGUCCCCCUUAAAUACUUUAAUUCCAAUCUCCUUAGGCCUUUAAUGGUCAUAACCAGCAUCUUGAAUUUUAAUCAGAAGUAAACUAGUAAUUAGCGCUGUUGGAGAAAGAAUGAUGUGAUGUACUAGCUAUUUCCUCUCUGCUUUUCUUUCCGGAGCCUGACUUUUGAAAAACAGAAUAACAGAACAAGUGCAUGCAAUUCUUUCACUUUCCUACUCAGAGACCAUGGUUUAAUGUUACUCAUGGAUCAAGGAGCUACAACACAUGCAUGCUAUACCAGAUGGCAAACCAGAGCUUGUUGUGGUUUGCCAUUCUCCAGAUCCAUUUUCUAGCAGCAUUAUGGUGACUUGUCAAUUAACAUUUUAUUUCUUUUUUAAACACAAAGGCCUCACAGUGGCCUUGAUCAGAAUCAGCGGCACCACAAACAAGAGAGGAAGAAGCUAAUUUCCCUCUUCAUCUCCUUUGUGUGCCUGAUGUACAUAUCCCCAUGGGUGAAAAAAAUCUGGAGAAUCAUCUCAGGUUGUGUUUUUUUCUUCAUUAAAAAUUAACCGUAGAUUGGCCUUGUAGUCUGGAUUUAUGAUAUCAAAGAGAGCUACUUUUGUGUAGCAGUUAAGGUACCAGGUUAGAAACUGAGAAAAAAAAAGAGUUCUAGUCCUCCUUAGGUACAAAGACAACUGGAUGACUUUGGACCAGUCACUCUCUCACCCCUAGUUAGCAGGCAAUGACAAACCAGUUCUGAAAACUUUGCCAAGAAAACUGCAGGGACUUGUCCAGGAGUCAAGAGUGACGCGAGAACAUGCAAUGAUAUCAAAAUAGAAUAGAAUAGAACAGAAUUUUAUUGGCCAAGUAUGAUUGGACACACAAGGAAUUUGUCUUGGUGCAUAUGCUCUCAGUGUACAUAAAAGAAAAGAUACGUUCAUCAAGGUACAACAUUUACAACACAAUUGAUGGUCAGUAUAUCAAUAUAAAUCAUAAGGAUUGCCAGCAACAAGUUAUAGUCAUACAGUCAUAAGUGGAAAGAGAUUGGUGAUGGGAACUAUGAGACGAUUAAUAGUAGUGCAGAUUCAGUAAAUAGUCUGACAGUGUUGAUGGAAUUAUUAAUGGAAUUAGGGAACAGCAACAACUCAGGAUUGAAGAUCGUUAAGCUAUCUAUAAUGUGACCCAAAAUAUGGGUUUGAAUGCAUGGCUAAUCCAACUCGUAAUGCGAUAUAAAUGAGACUUGCCAGCAAGGAUUUUCCUUGUGUUUGCUGCUGGGCAAACUGCAUGGAACUGGCAGUCAAUCGGCGGUGUUGGCUCCUUGCCAGCAGCAACCGUGCUUUGUUUUUUUCAUUGGAAGGCUGCCUGCCUGCCACAGCCCCCCUGCCUGCCCCCAAUCCCGGCUCAGAUUUCACAUCCAUUCAUCCAGUGGAGUGAACUCCUGAAAACAUCUGUGAUCCAAUGUUGGUGACGACAAAACAAACAAAAAGCAGGAUGCAUUUACAGACCAUUGGAAAUGGCUUACGGUAUGGCAAGGCUCAUAGUUUCCAUUCAUUUUUUCCCCCCUCUGACUGCAUUGCUGCUUUUUAUACAGAUUGGGAACAGAAGAUCACAAGCAGAGGUAUUGCUUGUCCUGCACUUUGGGCAUGAACCCAGGAAUUUAUUUUUAAAGGUCUCACCACAUCUAUAACCAGUAAGUGCUGUAAGUGUCAUCUGGUCUCAUUUGCAAAUUUACUUUUCCUUGGAAGUGGAAUUGCUAUAUAAGGGGGUGGGUUUAUUAAGUUAGUGAAGUGAGCAUUAAUUCUCUCCCUACAUGCUAUAUAAUUGCAUACCGCUCUUUGCUACAGCUCUCCCCUACAGCAAUUAAGUUUAAGAAAAGCAUUCCAUCGGGGAAAAAAGGAAGACUUUUUCUUUAAUUUUGGGGGCAAUUUUCCCUGGGAGGGCAAAUAAAUUAUUGAUUACAUUGCACAAGCAAAAAUUGCCUUGACUUGGGGAUAAAAGAGUUAUUAGCAAAGUAGAAAAUUGUAUGUUUUAGCAGUCUAUCUUUAUACCACAAAUGUGUUUAUGAUACUGCAGAAAUAGGAAGUGGAGUGAGGAGGGAAUUACUGUCUCCAGGGAUUAUGCUGGUUUAAAUAGCUUUCCUAUGCUGAAGUGCAAUGAGAAACUUCACUUUCUCUUGGGAGAGAAAUGAUCUAUUUAAGGCAGUAUCAGAAAAUAUUCCCAGAUGCUCCAUCAUUUGGCAAGCAAUUGGGAUUUCAGAGAAGUUUGUUCAGUUUCCAGAAAUCUGAGUUGAAUAAGCAAUGGUUAUUCCAAUGUUUAUUUUUGUGGUUGAAUUAGGUCUAUGAGUGAGAAAUAUAGAAAGACAGAUAACUGACUCUCUGUUGGACAUCAGAAUGCAAUUGCUUCUAUAUAAAAUAUUCCUUCAUUUUUUAAAACAUGAUUUUGAGAAGUCUUCUCUAACUGGCCCUCAUCAGAUAUAUUAGCUCUCCCAGAAUUCAGAAUUAAUGUGGGCAAAGGAAUUCCAAAAGUCCUAAUACAUCAGUAUAAGAAGACUGAUUUAGAGAUUAGUUUCAAACUUCAAAGUUAUAAAGUGUCACCUCUGUUUAUGUAAUUCCCCCCUUGUUUAAUGUUUUGCUUUAACCAUGGUCUCUCUUGUCCCCCUCCCCCAAUUCUUCCCAACCUUAUAUUUGGAAUAAAGUUCCAGAAAUCCUAGGUUGCAUGUUUGAGUUGUUGCUGAACAUUCUGGCAAUCUGGCAAAAUAUUUGGCGUACUGAUUGAAAAAUGUUUUAAAAUAGUGUUUUUACUAGGAAUCUUUACGAGAACUUACAUCAAAGAGAUAAAAUAUCAGAUUUUACACAUUACAACAGCUGCACGAAUAACAUAUGCACAAAACUGGAAACAGGAAAAGACACCAACAGAUGAAGAAGUGAUAGGGAACGUUUUACAAUGUGCCAAAAUGGACAAGUUAACAAAAGAAAUUAAAAAGAAGAGACAAAUCAUUAUAUAAUCUGGAACAAAUGGUAUGAAUGGCUUGACACAGGAAAAAAAAUAAAGGGGAGAAAUUAGAAAUGUACAAUAUGUAAAUAAUAAAUAUAUAAGAAUCUAGAAAAGUAAAGCUAUUAGUAUUAGAUAACUUAAUGUAAAUAAAGAAAAUGGGAUAAGAAAGAAAAUAAAAUAAUAAAUGAGAUAUGGGGGGAAAGGUAUAAAAGCGAAACAAGACCACUAAGAAACGUUGUUUAAAAAUAGUAGAUAUUUAUAUGUUGUAUGUUUGUCAGAUUGUGUAUCAAAAUAAAACAAUAAAAAAAGUUUUAAAAAAGAAAGAAAAAUGUUUUAAAAUAGUGUUUUCAAUACAGGUGCAAAUGUCCAUAAUAGAUGAAGAACUGACUUUGGAGCUUUUACAGGAGUGUUUUUCAAAUUUGGCA